UUAGAGAACUCGAAAAUGAGUACUUUAACAUUAAUAAAAUUACGGCCACCAGAUAAUCACGUGCUACGCACGUCAGACCUUUCAGUCCACAUGUAUAUAUAGGGCUCCAACCCACUAAGCAGCCCCUUAUAAUUGCUUUGAAUUAGGGUUAGGUUCCUCCCAGUUUCGUUCCUCCUUCGAAUCGUAGAAAAUCAAACCCUAACCCAAAGCUUCAAUCAUGUCUUCCAAGCUAGGUAUUUUUCUCAUAUAAUUAGAUCUUUUGGUUUUUUUUUCGUUGUUUUCUCACGGGGAGGAUGCUUUGCUCGAUUGGGAUUUUGAUCGAAUGAAAAAUUGAAAUUAUCAUGUGGUUGUUUGUUUUCAGGUGGAAAAGCUAAGCCUUUGAAGGCACCAAAGUCUGAGAAGAAGGAUUACGACGAGGUAUUGUUUUCAAUAAUUUCUUUAUCAAUUUGAUUGGAAACUGUGCAUUUUUUUAAUUUUUUUUUCUUUGUUGUGCAAAGAAUUGAAAGAUUGGAACUUAAAUAAAUUGAUUUUUAUUAAAUCUUUGAGUUUGGUACUUAGCUUUACGUUCUUGACUGGAAAGUAUGCUCGAUUUUAUUUGAUUAACUUUGAUUCUUAUAGUUUAUGGGUUUAUGAUAUGGAAAUUUAUCUGGGUUUUAAGGAAAAUCCAAAUUGGAAUUGAAGUUCGUAUGUUUUAAGCUUUUAGGCAUCUGAUGAAAUUGAAAGAUCUCUUAAUUGGCAAUAUGUGGUUGAAGCUUGGGUGGGCUUUGCUAAUAUGCUAUUGGUUUAAUUGAGGAUAGGUACGGUAUCCCAAAUUGAAGUCCUUUAUGCUGCUUAAGCUUCAAAUAAGAGAGUUGGAUUUGGUGCUCUGAAUUUAUUUUCUCCAUUUCAAAAUUUAUUCAGUACAAAAUUCUAAUUUCUUUUAAUAGACCAUACUAUGUUGCUAUAUUGCUUUUCAUUUGGCAUCUUUAUGCUUGUAUGAAUUGAUUAUUUCUAUGGGAUUGAGAUUCCUUUUUAUGAGUAGAUGACUUGUUUUGGAACUAUGGUGCUUGCUAUUUACUUGUAACUCUUUGCUUUUAUAAACUCUAAACAACUGGCUGGUUAUGAUUUUAAGCAGCCAUUGUUGCAAUAUCCCAUGCAUAUUUUGCUUUUUCUAGAGAAAGAAUUACCUCUACAUGGAGGACUCUAUUUGUAUAAAGUGCUAAUUUUUUUUUUUUACUCUGGCCAUCCUAUGAUGCAAUCCCGUUCGUAACUCUGAUUUCCUACCAUUCCCAUUGCUAUUGUCCUUAAAUUUACUUCACUGAUUUGCAGACUGAUCUGGCCAACAUUCAAAAGAAAAAGGAUGAAGAAAAGGUAAGAGACAAUGGAUAUUACUUUAAAAAAAAAGGAAAAGAAAAGAAACUGGAUGUUUUAUCUUGUUUAUUACCUUUUGCAAUAGUGAAAGGCGACUAAUUUGAUUAUUCUUGUGAUGAGCAGGCACUUAAGGAGCUCAGAGCCAAGGCACAGCAGAAAGGGAGCUUUGGAGGUUCUGGGCUGAAGAAAAGUGGGAAGAAAUGAAGAUUUCAAACCCAGAUAGACAUGGUUUCCUUUAGUGUAUUCUGAACUAUAUUAUGAUGAUAUCUCGUGUUUAGUGUGAUGGUCGCUGAUGUCCUAUGCUUGAUGUGUUGGUCUUCAUCUUGAGCCAGAAUUACGUAAAACUUUAUAAAUUGUGUGCAUCUGUCCUCUAUCCAUGUGCCAACAAUGUAUUUGCUGGCAUUGUUGGAAACUUUGUUCUAUGUAACUCGUUUGCAAUUUGUUGAUUGCGCUUAGUAAUAAUGGUCUCCUGGGUAAUUGAUUUCCUGAGGAUGUGUUUCCCUUUUAAAUUGCAUUAAUGUGAAAAUUGCCCUCGCUGAGGAUGAUGGAAAAGAUUGGGAUAAAUUGUGUUAUUAGCACAAAAAGCAAAAUAAAUGGUGAAGUAACACAAGAUGUGAAAUAGGAUGUCAUGUGGUGUGGUUUAUAA
rnacentral:lncRNA from 1 species